rnacentral:rRNA from 1 species
AACGCUAGCUACAGGCUUAACACAUGCAAGUCGAGGGGCAGCAUCAUCAAAGCUUGCUUUGAUGGAUGGCGACCGGCGCACGGAUGAGUAACACGUAUCCAACCUGCCGACAACACUGGGAUAGCCUUUCGAAAGAAAGAUUAAUACCGGAUGGCAUAGUUUUCCCGCAUGGGAUAAUUAUUAAAGAAUUUCGGUUGUCGAUGGGGAUGCGUUCCAUUAGGCAGUUGGCGGGGUAACGGCCCACCAAACCUACGAUGGAUAGGGGUUCUGAGAGGAAGGUCCCCCACAUUGGAACUGAGACACGGUCCAAACUCCUACGGGAGGCAGCAGUGAGGAAUAUUGGUCAAUGGACGAGAGUCUGAACCAGCCAAGUAGCGUGAAGGAUGACUGCCCUAUGGGUUGUAAACUUCUUUUAUAUGGGAAUAAAGUUUUCCACGUGUGGAAUUUUGUAUGUACCAUAUGAAUAAGGAUCGGCUAACUCCGUGCCAGCAGCCGCGGUAAUACGGAGGAUCCGAGCGUUAUCCGGAUUUAUUGGGUUUAAAGGGAGCGUAGGUGGAUUGUUAAGUCAGUUGUGAAAGUUUGCGGCUCAACCGUAAAAUUGCAGUUGAAACUGGCAGUCUUGAGUACAGUAGAGGUGGGCGGAAUUCGUGGUGUAGCGGUGAAAUGCUUAGAUAUCACGAAGAACUCCGAUUG